AUGCAGCGGCGGAGGGGUGCAGUAACGCGUGGGUAACCUGCCCUCAUACACAUGGAUAACAUACUGCAAAAACGUUUACUACAUACACUUGACUAACUAUAUAUUUACCGGCAUCGUCAGCAUAUAUCAAAGUGUUCAGCGGUCAUACGGACGGACCCGCGUCUGAUUCAGCUCAGUUGGUGCACGAUAACUGCCCACCAAGGCCGACGAUCAGUAGCCGACCUGAGAGGGUGAUCGGCCACAUUGGAACUGAGACACGGUCCAAACUCCUACGGGAGGCACCAUGGGGAAUAUUGCACAAUGGGCGCAAGCCUGAUGCAGCAACGCCGCGUGAACGAUGAAGGUCUUCGGAUCGUAAAGUUCUGUUGCAGGGGAAGAUAAUGACGGUACCCUGUGAGGAAGCCCCGGCUAACUACGUGCCAGCAGCCCGGUAAUACGUAGGGGGCUAGCGUUAUCCGGAUUUACUGGGCGUAAAGGGUGCGUAGGUGGUCUUUCAAGUCGGUGGUUAAAGGCUACGGCUCAACCGUAGUUAGCCUCCGAAACUGGAAGACUUGAGUGCAGGAGAGGAAAGUGGAAUUCCCAGUGUAGCGGUGAAAUGCGUAGAUAUUGGGAGGAACACCAGUAGCGAGGGCGGCUUUCUGGACUGCAACUGACACUGAGGCACGAAAGCGUGGGUAGCAAACAGGAUUAGAUACCCUGGUAGUCCACGCUGUAAACGAUGAGUACUAGGUGUCGGGGGUUACCCCCCUCGGUGCCGCGGCUAACGCAUUAAGUACUCCGCCUGGGGAGUACGCACGCAAGUGUG
rnacentral:rRNA from 1 species